rnacentral:rRNA from 1 species
UGGGGAAUAUUGCACAAUGGGCGCAAGCCUGAUGCAGCCAUGCCGCGUGUAUGAAGAAGGCCUUCGGGUUGUAAAGUACUUUCAGCGAGGAGGAAGGCGUUGUGGUUAAUAACCGCAACGAUUGACGUUACUCGCAGAACAAGCACCGGCUAACUCCGUGCCAGCCGCCGCGGUAAUACGGAGGGUGCAAGCGUUAAUCGGAAUUACUGGGCGUAAAGCGCACGCAGGCGGUCUGUCAAGUCGGAUGUGAAAGCCCCGGGCUCAACCUGGGAACUGCAUCCGAAACUGGCAGGCUAGAGUCUUGUAGAGGGGGGUAGAAUUCCAGGUGUAGCGGUGAAAUGCGUAGAGAUCUGGAGGAAUACCGGUGGCGAAGGCGGCCCCCUGGACAAAGACUGACGCUCAGGUGCGAAAGCGUGGGGAGCAAACA